rnacentral:rRNA from 1 species
CCUACGGGGUGCAGCAGUGAGGAAUAUUGGUCAAUGGCCGCAGGGCUGAACCAGCCAAGUCGCGUGAGGGAUGACGGUCCUAUGGAUUGUAAACCUCUUUUGUCAGGGAGCAAAGGGCGCCACGUGUGGCGCUUUGCGAGUACCUGAAGAAAAAGCAUCGGCUAACUCCGUGCCAGCAGCCGCGGUAAUACGGAGGAUGCGAGCGUUAUCAUGAUUUAUUGGGUUUAAAGGGUGCGCAGGCGGAAUGUCAAGUCAGCGGUAAAAUUUCGGGGCUCAACCCCGUCGUGCCGUUGAAACUGGCGUUCUUGAGUGAGCGAGAAGUAUGCGGAAUGCGUGGUGUAGCGGUGAAAUGCAUAGAUAUCACGCAGAACUCCGAUUGCGAAGGCAGCAUACCGGCGCUCAACUGACGCUCAUGCACGAAAGCGUGGGUAUCGAACAGGAUUAGAUACCCCUGUAGUC